rnacentral:rRNA from 1 species
AGUGAACGCUGGCGGUAGGCCUAACACAUGCAAGUCGAACGGCAGCACAGUAAGGGCUUGCUCUUACGGGUGGCGAGUGGCGGACGGGUGAGGAAUACAUCGGAAUCUACUUUUUCGUGGGGGAUAACGUAGGGAAACUUACGCUAAUACCGCAUACGACCUACGGGUGAAAGCAGGGGAUCUUCGGACCUUGCGCGAUUGAAUGAGCCGAUGUCGGAUUAGCUAGUUGGCGGGGUAAAGGCCCGCCAAGGCGACGAUCCGUAGCUGGUCUGAGAGGAUGAUCAGCCGCACUGGAACUGAGACACGGUCCAGACUCCUACGGGAGGCAGCAGUGGGGAAUAUUGGACAAUGGGCGCAAGCCUGAUCCAGCCAUACCGCGUGGGUGAAGAAGGCCUUCGGGUUGUAAAGCCCUUUUGUUGGGAAAGAAAAGCAGCAGGUUAAUACCCCGCUGUUCUGACGGUACCCAAAGAAUAAGCACCGGCUAACUUCGUG